GAUGAACGCUGGCGGCGUGCCUAAUACAUGCAAGUCGAGCGAAUGGAUUAAGAGCUUGCUCUUAUGAAGUUAGCGGCGGACGGGUGAGUAACACGUGGGUAACCUGCCCAUAAGACUGGGAUAACUCCGGGAAACCGGGGCUAAUACCGGAUAAUAUUUUGAACUGCAUGGUUCAAAAUUGAAAGGCGGCUUCGGCUGUCACUUAUGGAUGGACCCGCGUCGCAUUUGCUAGUUGGUGAGGUAACGGCUCACCACGGCAACGAUGCGUAGCCGCCCUGAGAGGGUGAUCGGCCACACUGGGACGGAGACACGGCCCAGACUCCUACGGGAGGCAACAGUAGGGAAUCUUCCGCAAUGGACGAAAGUCUGACGGAGCAACGCCGCGUGAGUGAUGAAGGCUUUCGGGUCGUAAAACUCUGUUGUUAGGGAAGAACAAGUGCUAGUUGAAUAAGCUGGCACCUUGACGGUACCUAACCAGAAAGCCACGGCUAACUACGUGCCAGCCGCCGCAGUAA
rnacentral:rRNA from 1 species